CGAGAGAGGCCAAGAGCAGUAAGGACUGCUAAUCCCUACCCCCGCGGUUAAACUCCGCGGCUCACUCGA
rnacentral:tRNA from 1 species